AAAGGGAGACCUAAUUCAGGUAGGAGACGAAAAAAAAGUAGUCGCUACCAAGAAUCAAUCCCAAAAGGUCGGAGCGAGGCGAAAUUGGCUUUCAAACUAGGUUCUGGGUUCAAACAAGACCUGAAUCAGGAACAAGGGCUAUUAGCUCAGGUGGUUAGAGCGCACCCCUGAUAAGGGUGAGGUCCCCGGUUCGAGUCCAGGAUGGCCCACCUGCACAGGUGGCAAAAACAAGAGAAGCGAGGAAUCAGCACCUUAUCUUACUUAUAUAGUAAGAGAGAAUGCUGGCUCUGAGUAAAGAGUCCAGAGGAACCUUGAAAACUGCAUAGAGCUAGGUGAAAAAGCCAAAAAAGAAGACCGCAAG
rnacentral:tRNA from 1 species